rnacentral:rRNA from 1 species
UACGUAGGGUGCGAGCGUUGUCCGGAAUUACUGGGCGUAAAGAGCUCGUAGGCGGCUUGUCACGUCGGGUGUGAAAGCCCGGGGCUUAACCCCGGGUCUGCAUUCGAUACGGGCAGGCUAGAGUGUGGUAGGGGAGAUCGGAAUUCCUGGUGUAGCGGUGAAAUGCGCAGAUAUCAGGAGGAACACCGGUGGCGAAGGCGGAUCUCUGGGCCAUUACUGACGCUGAGGAGCGAAAGCGUGGGGAGCGAACAGG